GUGAAUAUGAAGUUAGGUUUUCUCAAUCUCAGAUAAAACAAUGGGAGGAUUCCUUAAGAAAAAUUGUAGUUAUAUUAUUAAUCUGACUCAAACAAUGUAAGCAUGAAUAUGUAAUCUAUAAAAGGGUAGCACUGAGUAGUUUUCAUGAAUUCGAACUCCUAACAAAAUCACCCCUAAAAUUCAUAACGCAAAAAAAAAAAAAGAUCAAUUCUAAGUCCUCAGCAUAACCUGCUGCCAGUAUUUGAAACAGCUGAUCACUUUAUCCUUCUAGAAAAACUGCUUUUGCCUUGAUUUUGGGGACGAUUUUGGGGACAUUUCCUUUUCAGAUUUUUAACUUACUUCCCUGGUAGAUACUUGUCAGAAUUCUUUGCUGGAUCCUGUUAAUUUUCCCAACUGUUAAAUGUCGUUGAUUCCGUGGACACAGUACUUGCUCCCCUAUUCCCUACCAAAGUUCUCACUGACUUCCUUUUAAAGUACCCUGGAAACUGACAGAUUUGUAGCUUCAACCAGAAAAUUCAGGCACAUAUUUACCACAUUCUUAUGAUUUCUUUUUUUCCUGGAUCCACAAAGAUUGAAACUCGCCACAUGGGGGCACAUUCGUUCACCAUAACUGUGACUAAAAUUGGUGACAUUUUAAUUUGCAGGCAAUUACCUCUACAAACACCUCCCUUCAUUAGAAAUAAAAAUUGAGAUGUUCAAAGCAUCUUACAGGUCAAAGAGCUAAGCCAGAUCCUCACUCAAGCACUCAAGAGUUUUUUUGUUUUUUUUUUUUCCCGAGAAAAACUCUGGAGGAACAAACAACUUUGAACAUUUUCCCACUGAAGUCCUAGCGUUUUGGCGCUGACAGCGUUAACUUCUACACGGAAGCUGCCCCUCCGCCCUCCAGAAGGAAAGAGGACCCGUAUGGGAGCCGCAGAGAAGCACCUAGAACCCUGGGGCCUGAGGGCCGGCUGGAGGCAACACAGGGCUGAACCCCUGUCAGCCUGCCGGGGGACGCGGUGCCCGCCCUCCGGCAUCCGGGAAACAGCGUCCCAGCCGGCGCCUGCGCAGGUGCCACACUUCCUGGUCCUCUCUGGCUGCUUCUGA
rnacentral:lncRNA from 1 species